rnacentral:rRNA from 1 species
UCCCUCCAUUUUGGUUGGGACCACUGGUUGCCCACUGAAGCUAAGCAGGGCUGAGCCUGGUCAGUACCUGGAUGGGAGACCUCCUGGGAAAACUAGGUUGCUGCUGGAA